rnacentral:lncRNA from 1 species
AAUUUAUUUAUUCUUCUUUCUGUGACUUAAAUUCUUGUAUGAUUUUGGUUAUGUAGAAAAGAAGCUGUAACUUCUUGUCAAGAACAGUUGGAUGCUUUCCAAGUUCUUGUUAAAUCAUUGAAGUCAUGGAUAAAAGAAACAACAAAAAAAGUUCCCAUUGUACAGCCUUCUUUUGGUGCAGAGGAUUUAGGAAAAUCUUUGGAAGACACUAAGAAAUUACAAGAAAAGUGGAGUUUAAAAACACCAGAGAUUCAGAAAGUAAACAACAGUGGGAUCUCACUAUGUAACUUAAUAAGUGCUGUGACCACCCCU